UCCUCUUCAACGCUGCGUUUCUAUGCUGCAAACGGAGAGAUUCGUGCGCAAGCAAAAGUCUCUCAUCACUGGCAUAUGAGAAAUUCGGAGUAACUUCUUCACACCACUCACCCAACGUCGCCUGCCUUGUGCGGGAUUGACGGGUCUGCCCGCGAGGGCCUGGCGUGACUUCACGUCUGCAAUUGGCAUCAGAAAAGCAGGGCCCGGGCCGCCCUCAUGCAUAUCCCGAAUCCCUUCCGGGGGAUAUAGGAGAAGAUGGGGGCCCUAGGACUCGGUGUCCCUAUGGGAGAGCCGUUGCGAAAAGAUUGUGCAGAGCACUUGAGUGCGAUACGCAGCGUCUGGACCCUGGCUGGCCUCGGCUGGUCAGGGGCUUGACAAUUCAAUUCCGAUCAUUCUGUUGAGGA
rnacentral:RNase_P_RNA from 1 species